rnacentral:tRNA from 1 species
GCUGUGUAGCUCAGUUGGUAGAGCAUGAGACUCUUAAUCUCAGGGUCGUGGGUUUGAGCCCCAUGUUGGGCA